CUCCCCCCGCGUGGGGCGCUCGUUCCGGGGUGAAGGCGGAGGGUUCGGGGCCUCCCGGCUCCGCGAGACGCGGGCGCGAGCGCGGCGCCGCCGGCGGCAGGUGUUUGCUUCAAGGACAUUGUUCUUGGUUACAUUGGUUUGACAUUCCUGGGAAUAAACAAAUUUCUACUA